ACAAACCCAUAUCAUCUUUUUAUCAUAUCAUGGAAAAACACCUGAGUUUGAUUUUAAUUAUGUCCAGUGUGAUAGCCGAGGACCUGAUUUGGCCAAAUAUGGGUUCAAGUCUCAUCAUGAGAGAAGGAGAGUCUGUGACACUGAGUUGCUCAUAUGAUACAAGCAGCAGUUCUGUUAGACUUUACUGGUACAGACAGUAUCCUAAUAGAGAGCUUCAGUAUUUAAUGACUCAGGCCGGUGUAUCCCAUUCCCAAUCAUCCACUGAACUCAUUAAUAAUGAUCUGGCGCUGUCAGAUGCAGCUCUCUAUUACUGUGCUCUAAGAGUAGCAAGCCCAGUGAUACAAAGUCUACGUGAAGCUGUACACAAACUCAAAUUCAUUUUUCAUUUUGAACAUAACCACUACCCAUAAUAUUUCAUGCAACA